rnacentral:rRNA from 1 species
GAUGAACGCUGGCGGCGUGCUUAACACAUGCAAGUCGAACGCACAUAUCUUUCGGGGUGUGUGAGUGGCAGACGGGUGCGUAACACGUGGGUGACCUGCCCUAAAGUGGGGAAUAACUGUCCUAACGGACGGCUAAUACCGCAUAUGUUCACCGCUUCGGUGUGGUGAGUAAAGCAGCAAUGCGCUUUGGGAUGGGCCUGCGGCGGAUUAGCUAGUUGGUGGGGUAACGGCCUACCAAGGCGAUGAUCCGUAGGGGGCGUGAGAGCGUGGCCCCCCACACUGGCACUGAGAUACGGGCCAGACUCCUACGGGAGGCUG